rnacentral:rRNA from 1 species
UACGGAGGGGGCUAGCGUUGUUCGGAAUUACUGGGCGUAAAGCGCGUGUAGGCGGCCCUGCAAGUCGGAUGUGAAAUCCCACGGCUCAACCGUGGAAGUGCAUUCGAAACUGCAGGGCUAGAGUCCUGGAGAGGAAGGUGGAAUGCUUGGUGUAGAGGUGAAAUUCGUAGAUAUCAAGCGGAACACCGGUGGCGAAGGCGGCCUUCUGGACAGUGACUGACGCUGAGACGCGAAAGCGUGGGGAGCAAACAGGG